GGGCAUGACUAAAUCGCCUGAGC
rnacentral:miRNA from 1 species